AUUGAACGCUGGCGGCAGGCCUAACACAUGCAAGUCGAGCGGAUGAAGGGAGCUUGCUCCUGGAUUCAGCGGCGGACGGGUGAGUAAUGUCUAGGAAUCUGCCUGGUAGUGGGGGAUAACGUCCGGAAACGGGCGCUAAUACCGCAUACGUCCUGAGGGAGAAAGUGGGGGAUCUUCGGACCUCACGCUAUCAGAUGAGCCUAGGUCGGAUUAGCUAGUUGGUGGGGUAAAGGCCUACCAAGGCGACGAUCCGUAACUGGUCUGAGAGGAUGAUCAGUCACACUGGAACUGAGACACGGUCCAGACUCCUACGGGAGGCAGCAGUGGGGAAUAUUGGACAAUGGGCGAAAGCCUGAUCCAGCCAUGCCGCGUGUGUGAAGAAGGUCUUCGGAUUGUAAAGCACUUUAAGUUGGGAGGAGGGCAGUAAGUUAAUACCUUGCUGUUUUGACGUUACCAACAGAAUAAGCACCGGCUAACUUCGUG
rnacentral:rRNA from 1 species